rnacentral:tRNA from 1 species
AACCGUCCGGCCCGGCGGGGCCCGGCGCUCUCUGCGUCGAAUGAAUGAUCUUGAUCGCCACGGUGCGUUCGAGCCGCUCGUCGGUGGC